rnacentral:rRNA from 1 species
GGGCCCGCACAAGCGGUGGAGCAUGUGGUUUAAUUCGAUGAUACGCGAGGAACCUUACCAGGGCUUAAAUGUAGUCUGACAGCUUUAGAGAUAAAGUUUUCUUCGGACAGAUUACAAGGUGCUGCAUGGUUGUCGUCAGCUCGUGCCGUGAGGUGUCAGGUUAAGUCCUAUAACGAGCGCAACCCCCUGUUGUUAGUUGCCAGCGAGUAAUGUCGGGAACUCUAACAAGACUGCCGGUGCAAACCGUGAGGAAGGUGGGAUGACGUCAAAUCAUCACGGCCCUUACGUCCUGGGCUACACACGUGCUACAAUGGUCGGUACAGAGAGCAGCCACUACGCGAGUAGGAGCAAAUCUUCAAAGCCGAUCUC